CCGACCUUAGCUCAGUUGGUAGAGCGGAGGACUGUAGUCGUAAGCACAGCUAAAUCCUUAGGUCGCUGGUUCGAAUCCGGCAGGUCGGA
rfam:Cucumis melo, WGS project CAJI01000000 data, contig: 18603